UCAUCUGCUGUGGGUGUUCCUGAUCUUUGAGCCAUGAUAAUGUUACUGGUUGGAUGUCAGGAGCAGGCCAUGUGGAUGAUUAAAAGAUGAAUAUCAUAUACAGCAUGGAUAUGUUGGACAAAAAGAUGAUUCACAUCCCAGACAGAAUGGAGCAGCACAUUUAUUAAAAGCCAGAAGCUAGAAGACGAGGAAAGAAGAGGUGGUUAAAGAAAGAUACAGUAACAGCAGUAAUAUCUAACAGGAAGGCUACAGGGGAAAAUACAGAAAUUCCAUAAAGAACAAACACUGUAACUCAAAACCAAAGCUUUGCUAGUCACUAGUGCCCGCUACAUCCUAACAGAUGCAGCUGGAGAGCCUGGGGUGAGAACAUGAGCAGUCUAUAAUCAGAAAAUCCCUUUGGGAUAAAUUGACAAAAAUAUAAACCACUCCACAAAGGAGAAAUUGUAAAUGAAAAUGACAUGAGAAGGAAGAAGAUCACUUCAGAGAGCCUGCAGCUCAGAACAGUGGGAACAUCAAAGGUUCCCCAUGUGUCAUUUCAUCUGAUCUUCAUGUUGUAAGGGGUCUGUAUUACUGUUUCCAUUUUAAAGACCACGAAACCAAAGGGCUAGGGAAGUAACUCGCUCACAUUCCCACAUUAAAUGGAAAAGUUGAAUCUGAAGCCAGAUCUUUCUGAUUCCAAAAGUUUAGGAGUCAAUAAAGCCAAUUUGUUUCCCACUUUGUGUAGGAGUGGGCAACUAUUUAUUUCCUGGAUGUCAGCUUCUUCAUCUGGAGUUUCCUCCAGUUUCCCUGUACUUCUAGAAUCCCAUGAUUGUAAUUUCUACUGAUAUAAUCAAUAGGAUUUACUUAUUUUGAAUCUCAGACUUUGCAGAAUGAUAUGCUUGUUUCAGACCCUUUAAACACCAGGAGUCAGAUGCAGUUCAUCAGCUGACAGAAGGCUCAGUCAUGUACUGCAGCAUAUGCUUUAGAGGAGUGCACACCACUGUGGUCUGAAACAAAAGCUUCCUGAAGGCUUAGCGAGCUCUGCACUGCGGUAGGCACGAUAUCUGGUGCAAGAACAAGCCUGUAUUCGGAGGUUCAGGAACGCUGGCUCUUAGCCCUUUCCAAGACAUUUCUUUCAAGCGCAUAGAGAUGAAUGAAGCAGAUUGAUCAAAGUGCUAUCCUUACAACUCUUUGUAGUGUGAUUGCUGCAAACUGUUCUUGUGGGAGCAUUCAGGGCCAAGUUUCUGUCAUCUAUAUUUUAUAAUAUCCAUGAGUUGAGAAUUCUUUGUAAUUCUCAUUUUUAUGUAUAUUACAGGCAGCUAGAAUGGGAGAAAUAUAAGCCUAUUACAAUUUGGAGGGAGACCUUUAAAGACAAUUUUUUAAAUGCAAAGGCAUUGUUGCAUUAGGCACAGCAUUCACAGUAUAAUUAGAGUAAAUCGAAAUGCUCCUGCAUCAGUUUCAUUUUUGGAAAAUGUUAAUUGCUUGUUGCUUUAUGUGCUGUUGAUAUGAUGGACUUCCUUAAUUAGAUUAUGAGUUUUGGUUGGAAAGUCCAGCUUCAGGGUAAUUAAAACACUGGAUAAUUCAGCAUAUUUCCUAAAACUUAUACUCUGAAAAUAUUCUUGUAACUAUCUUGCCAUGUCUUCCCUCUUUUAUAUGACUUUUACCUUUUUUAUUCUUCAUGGAAGAACAGUAUUAGGGAUUGUUCCUGAUGGGUUCCUGUUAGAAAUAGAUUUUAAUUUGGACAAUCCUUCUCUUGGUGUAUUGGAUGAGCUGCAUCCGUCAAAAAGAGAGGCUUGCAGUGGUCAUUUGAAGUCCUGCCUCUGUCUGCCAGGCUGUGCUUGGGCAGCAAGAACCCCUACCUACGCCCAGAAAUAAAGUGUCAUUUAAUUGUUGGCG